rnacentral:rRNA from 1 species
GACAGAGGGUGCAAACGUUGCUCGGAAUUACUGGGCGUAAAGCGCGUGUAGGUGGAUUGGUGUGUCAGAUGUGAAAGCCCUGGGCUCAACCCAGGAACUGCACCUGAAACUACCAGUCUUGAGUGGUGGAGAGGGAAGUGGAAUUCCUGGUGUAGAGGUGAAAUGCGUAGAUACUGGGAGGAACACCGGUGGCGAAGGCGACUAACUGGACAUGUAUUGACGCUGAGGUGCGAAAGCGUGGGGAGCAAACAGG